CAUGUUGUUUGGCAAGAGUGUGCAUGGUGUCGUUACAAGACCAUUUGGUGAGUGAAAACUCUGUUGUACACAACUCCUUCCAUUCUUCCAUGCUAACUGGGACUUUGGUGGUUGCAUUUGGCCUGGGCAAAGUUUCAUCUAGCAGUAGGCACUUUUGUAGCACACUCCUCAUGCCUUUGUCCAAUAGCAGCAAGGCAAAACAAAGGGCAAUAGGGCUAGUGGAUCAAACAUGUAUCGUGAGCUAUUUCUUGGUUCAAGCCAAAGGGUGAUAAGCAAAGUAUUAUGUUGGAUUGUUAGAGAACUCUUUGGAAAUUUAAUGAAUGGCUUUGGUAUUGCAGGGUGCUGCUAUACCGACACGAAUUGGCGGCUGACUUCAACUUUUAUCUCACCGUUCCGCUUCUGUUUCGAUAGGAGCAGCUGUUGGUUUUUUUCAGUCACCAGUUCAAGCAAGAUGACACCGAAAUUGUAGACUUCGCCUCUGGAAAUUAGAGUUCUGCUCUCCAUGUGCAUAGUAACAAUUUAUGGCUUCAACAUUUCCGACCUUCAGCCGUUCGUGGGCUUCUCCUACAGCUCUUCCAUCUUUUUUUCGCCAAGCAUGACCAUCUUUACGGAAGAAACGCAGUACUCUUCUACUAAACAGAAAUAGGGAACCACUUGUUGGCUAUUGCGGUGGCUCAUGAGUGAACUGGUACUUUUCAUUAUUCUGUAAAAUGUACAUGACUUCAGCCGGCUUGAGCCAUCUCCUUUGAGCUUCUUGAUACAGAUCAUUGAUAUCAUAUUCGUAACCAGGUGCCAUGGUAUAAUUGAAUCUGGAUAAUCGAAUCAAAAGGCAGAGAGCAUUUUUUGUUGGAAGCUAUCACUCAAGUGGCGCAUGCAAAAUCCAUGGAAAGCGGUAGUGAAAACAUGCCUCAACCCCAUCCACAGUUCCUUGCUGUCUAUCUGACAAAAUAGUAAGCCUUGGCAUGUUUUCAGUAUUAACCUCAAGCAGGUUAUGAAGUUCAGUCAGAAACCACGUCCAAUUAUCAUCAUUCUCCUCAUCAACAACACCAAAUGCAAGAGGAAAGAGAGCCCCAUCACCAUCAAAUCCGGUAACAAAAAGUAAUGUACCAAGAUACUUGCUCUUCAGAUACGUUCUAUCAAGCCCCAAGAGUGGCCGACAGGCAUUCAAAAAGCCAUAUAUAGAUGCUUGAAAAGAAAUGAAUAGGCGUUGGAAACAAUUAUCAGUUGGAUAUCCAUAAACAGCUGCAAUACUGCCCGGGAUGCCGCUGGAAACAAAUUCAUAAGCAAGAAUCUGUUGUAUGUGAUAUGAAACUUGUGUGGGAAAACGACAAGAGAAGUUGCCUUCAAGUUGGUCUUAAUUGCUGAAUUCAAUGUUGAUAAAAUAUUUUGGUGGCAAACCGAUUUUAUUAUAGUAUUCAUAACCAAUGUGAAAUCUAAGGUUCAUGUAUGGUAGACUUAGGAUUUUAGGAUGCAAAGGGGUUGUGUUGACUUUGGUCACAGUUCAUUUUUUGUAUUUUCCUUGUAGAUGGAAUUCAAUGGACAAUUACGGGUGAACUUAGGAUUUAAUGAAUUUGGGUUGACUUUGGUCAAAGUUGACCAAAAAGUCAAAUGUUGACCAAAGUCAACUGUUGACCAAAAAGUCAACUGUUGACCAAAGUCAACAGUUGGUCAAAAGUGUCAAUUUUUUUUGUAUUUUUCUUGUAUGGAAUCAUAUGUACUGGUUUAAACAACGACAUGAAAUAAAUUGAAAUGGAUUAACAAA